AUUGAACGCUGGCGGAAUGCUUUACACAUGCAAGUCGAACGGUGGAGGGGGCAACCCCUUGAGAGUGGCGAACGGGUGAGUAAUAUAUCGGAACGUGCCCAGUCGUGGGGACAACGUAGCGAAAGUUACGCUAAUACCGCAUACGAUCUACGGAUGAAAGCGGGGGACUCGCAAGAGCCUCGCGCGAUUGGAGCGGCCGAUAUCAGAUUAGGUAGUUGGUGAGGUAAAGGCUCACCAAGCCGACGAUCUGUAGCUGGUCUGAGAGGACGACCAGCCACACUGGGACUGAGACACGGCCCAGACUCCUACGGGAGGCAGCAGUGGGGAAUUUUGGACAAUGGGCGCAAGCCUGAUCCAGCAAUGCCGCGUGCAGGAUGAAGGCC
rnacentral:rRNA from 1 species